CCCUGUCAUUGGUUAAACUAUCUAAAGACCUAUUCCUACCUUUGUCCAUUCCUUUUAUUCUGAAUGUGACUGAUAAAGACUUGAUGGUUUUUCCCUUCUGUGAAACCCGAAACUAUAAAUGUACAUGUAGUAAAUACAUUCAAAUGACUUCUUUUUAGAAUGCAGUGUGAUGCCUCCACCACAGGAGAGGGUGAAAUAUGGACUCCAUAAAUACAGGGACAAAUCAAGAGCCAGAGACUUCCCUUUGUCAUGUUUUUAGACCAACCUGAUGAUGGUUAGGAAGGACAUUGACAAACUUGAGAACCCUGAUCGAGGGGAACCAUGUUGGUGAAAAAACCUUGAGAUCAAGCUAUAUGAGAAUCAACUAAAAGAAGUGGGGAUAUAUUGCUUGGAGAAAAGAAGACUAGGGGGGAGUAAGGGAAUGGACAAAGAUAAUCAUCUUAGAGUACUUAAAGUGAGUAAAUUUGUUUUUCCUAA